rnacentral:lncRNA from 1 species
UCCUCUGUUUCUGCCCCCCUGAGACUGCUAUCAUCCAUACUGCUUUGCACCCUUGAGGAUGAAAGCAUGGGUAAGCUUGAUUGUGAUGCAUGAUGCAGGGGUUGAUACUGUUCGAGUAAACCGGAUGCCAAGUAAGAUUCCAAUUUCUUUUUCACAGAACUAUUCCAGUGGUUCUUUAUAGCAUUGUCUGUCCUGUUGACAAUCAAAUAUACAUCACUCUAUGGGUAUCUUAGCAGUGCUGAAGAUAAAUUCAAAAUAAUGAAGCUCUGUAAUGCACUAAAGUAAGUCACUACCUCAAUGAACACGAAGAAUCACACCGAGAAUUACAAGCAAUAUGUGAGUAUUAUCCCAUAACAAAGAAGUGCUUGGGGAAAGAAAUAUACUGAAAAUUUGAGCAUCUGCUUACCUGCCAGGCAAGAACUUCGUUAGCUCUGCCCAUCUAUUUCCAUAUAUUUGGUGAGCACGAAUAAGUGCCAACUCUUCUUCCUGUGUCCAUGCCUCCUUGUUUAUGGCAGGAUUUAAAUGAUUGUGCCACCUGAUUAAUUGAAAAGUUAAAAAGUUAAGUUAAUUGACAAAAUCGAGCAAUAAACGCUCCCACAACUCAAUAAAUUAUUGUAUAUGUAAAACAAGGCCUUUAGACUUUUGUAUUGACACAUUUCAACACAGAUAACCUCAGGAAGUCGAAUACUAAAGACGCCAUCUCAAGAAACUUCAAAUCAUACCUUUCCCUACAUUGCUUACCAAUGCGUCCAGGUA